rnacentral:tRNA from 1 species
GCAGUCGUGGCCGAGAGGUUAAGGCGCUGGACUAGAAAUCGAUUGGGGUCUCCCCGCACAGGUCAAAUGCAGUCGACUGCG